CUUAUAUUAACGUGGGCCUAGAAUGUAGGAGUUUAGCCCAAAUGCAGGUCCAGUAACACAAAACGGUGUCGUUGGACUCUUGAACUACCAUAAAUGUGGAAAGUUGCAGAAACCGCGAAGCGUAGAGAAAGAAAGAACUAGGGUUUUCAUCUUUGCCAUCAGAAAACGAAAAUGAUUUACGACGUUAACUCUCCACUUUUCCGAUCCUUCCUUAGCCAGAAGGGUGGCUCCUCCGACAAGAGGUUCGUGCUUUCUCUCUUUCUUUCUGUGAGGAAUUCGAAUGUGAUUAUAUUGAAUUUUCGUCUUUUCUUAUCUGCCUGUGAUUUUUGAGCCAUUACCAUUUUCUUGUUUGUGCUAAGUUCGUUUUAUUUGUGUGUCUAUAUAUAUAUAAUUUUAUUUUAUUUAUUGUAUAUAUAUAUAUAUAUAUAUAUCUGUUUUAGUUUCUGUGUUUGGCGUAUCCUUCUCUGUACUUGCUAUUAAAAUAAGAGAAGAAAAAAGAAAACAGACACGCUUAAACAUGCUUUGUGCGACAACAAGUCGUGUUUUUGGGCGGUUUUGGGAAGAGUUAUGGGCAUAGUGGGUUUCUUUUCUUUAUCAGAAAAUGAAAGUUAAAGACUUUCAAUCUUGGGCAAGUGACUUGGCAUAGCUUCAUGUGGUAAUAUUUUUUAAAUGCAUUCAGUUAAAUUUUAUGAUUGCAAAUGAAAUGUUAUGCGACUUCCGUUUUUGCUCAUGAGGGCAUCUGCAAUUCGAUAUAUUGAAAUAUUGACCAAAGGAUUAUCACUAAAACCUGCUGUGAGAAUGACAAUUGGAUAGAUUUUGGAUGCAAUGUUGUUAAAUGGAGGCAGCAUAGCUGCCAUAGUGGAAUUGCAUGCUUGGUUCUUUUCUACUGCACCGUAGCUAAUUUGUUAGGGAGGUACACCCUGGUGGUGGUGCUAUAGCCUGGAAUUGUGUGUAUACGGAGGUAUCUUGUACUUCUGCCAUCUGUCAUUUAUACACUGCUAGAAAGAAAGGGAUUAGUAGGCCUAUAGAUGUUGUAUCUAGCAAGUAAAAAAUUAACUAUUCUUAAUCUAUUACGUGGGACCAGCCAGCUAUUGGAUUUGGAUAACUCAAAUGUGAAAUUUUGCAUUCACUGAAGGAGUUUUUCUUUGGCUGCUUGAGGAAAACAGAGGAGCAGAAGCCAAAAGAGCAUAAACCCAAAGCCAGUGAGAACAAACCUAUAAUGACAGAGUGAUAACAAGUUGUUUUCAUUCGGUUGAGGAAUGAAAAUAUGUGGUAGGUUUUGUGUUGCAGCUAUGUAAUUGAAGAUUGUUUUGAUUGUGUUCUGAGUUACAUGAUGUGAUUCCAGAGUUUGUUAUUGUAGUGGUGGUUUGAUUUUGGAUAUGCUUGGAAUGAAAUAGUGUGUUCACAAUUUGAACGCAGCCAGUAGAGUUAUUUGAAUACCCUAUACUUCGUGGUCAUCUCACCUUAGAGACUUUCGGUCUUUUUGAAUUUUUUUACAUAAAUACAAAUGUUUAAAAGGAAUAAUCAUAAAUAAAAUUGCACCAUUAUUUUUGUUUUUA
rnacentral:sRNA from 1 species